AAUAUACUGUAUUACCUAGUAUUCAUGUGACAUCAAGCAACAAUAUAUGUAAAUUUUAUAAAAUAAUAUUUUUAAAAAAAAGAUCAGCUUCAAUACUAGAACACUUUACCUAAGAUUUAUAAAUCUUAGCCUUACCUGGGAUAAGGCUGUGCUUCCCAUCUUACUACAUGUCAGAAUGACUCCAAAGUAGGCCAGACUUCAGCUAAAGCCCAAUACUCUUAAUUUAGGGUGAAACUGACUUUGCUGGAUGUUUAUGAUCAAGACCUAAAGUUAAACUAAAAUGGCCAAGAAAACCAAUAUUUGGCUCUGGCCCUCUGAGUCAGUCUGAAUCCAGGGAACAGGGAACUUCUCUAAAGAGCUUUACAACUCUGGGCCACAUAACCUCCUGAUCAGGGAGAUUAUUGAGACCACUGGAGAAUGAAAAGCCAAUCAGUGCAUUUGCUGUGAAUAGGAGGGUCAUUGGAGACAGGAGACAUCCCUGAUGCUUCCAAGGGAAGCCACAUGGUCAAGCAAGACCUGGACCUAUCCUAGUGCAAAUGGCACUAGCAGAACUAUGAAGCUGCUCUCAGGUUCCCCCACGAGCGACCCCUAUGGGAACUCGGCUGACUCUUAACAAUAGAUAGAAACAAAGUCAAUUUUGACCAACUUGGUCUUAAACACCUAUCAAAACCAGUUAAGCCAAAACCAGUCAUUCCUGGGAGUAAUGAAGCACAAGAACAGCUAGAAAAGAGGAGACAGCAACUAAGCCAACAGGCUCCAUGGGGAAUGUUCAGUUAAGUAUGGCCUUGGCUCCUCCCCCUCACAGGACCCCUAUUAGUCCUCUCUAUGUUUCUCCUAAUAGGACCAUGUCUAUUAAAUUGCCUACAGAAGUUCAUGCAAGAUCAGAUACACAAAUUCACCAACAAGCUGGUCAAUCUACUUCUUCUUUAAGACUACCAGCCCUGAUGCCCAAGAUGGACACCUACGACUCAUGACCAACUCCUCUGACUCCAGAGACUCUGUGCCCAUCUAAAACCCUCUCUAACCCUUUUUCCAAUUUUCACAACCCCUCUUUCACUUCCUAGGAAUGAGAACUACUCUCCAGCACGUCUACUCUGCUUAUUCUGUCUGCUCUACAGUAUCCCCACAAGGAAGCAUCAAACCUAAACUCCCCCUGGUACCACCAUGUCUCCCACCUUAAAAAGGCACUUGUUCCAAAUGUCCAGUCCUGGACUUCCACCAUGCCCACCAAACUCAAAAUUUCUUGCCAACCCUCUUCUUCUUUUACUAAUCAUUAUUCUCUCUCAAGUUUUUAUCUCAAACCACAGAUACCGCUUCUACAUCCAAGCGACAUGACACCAGGAUGACACCACCCACUCUCAGUUUAUGGGUCAAGGAGAUUGCCCUUCCACUGGUUGCAAGCGGUCUGUCACCCUUAACAUUACUGGAUUCAACCAAGCCACCUCCAAUACUUCCUAGAGUCCCUGCUACAGGACCAGUGGCUGAUACCAAGAAUCUCCUCCAUCUAGGACUGGUUUGAUGCCAUCAAGGACUUGUGGCUUCAAGGAACUUUUAUGGACUUUACCCCUACCACAGUAGUUGUCUGUAGCCACUGAGUGUUAUUUCUGGCUGCCCUGGUGUUCUCAGACCUGUCCCCCGAACAUUCCUCCACUUCCCCUUCUAGGUCUAACGCCGCCCACCAUUAAGCAGGAAGAAGCCAGAGGACUUUACGCC
rnacentral:lncRNA from 1 species